ensembl:lncRNA
UUGCAAGAUCCAGGAAAUUUACUCACUGGAAAUUUACAGAACUGGAAGCUGGGAGACCUGGCUGAGAAGAAAAUGCAGUUACUAUGUUCACCAGCACUGAGGCUAGAGGACGGGAAUCAGGGGAUGGAGUCCUGAGAAGGUAGCCAUCUCCCUUCAGGCUCAGCAGGGAUGAAUGGGGGCACUGAGUCAGACUGCAGAGCAGCAGAGCCUUCGCUUUCUAAGUCAUCAUUUGGGACAGAAGACGGGUUAUUUCCAUAGUGAAGUACUGCACCCAGGGUGGAUAUUUAGAGCUAGGGCUCCAGGCCAGUGGUGGUUGGGCCUUCUUAUUUGGGGCUAUUGUUUAUUUGAGACACAGGCCCAUGAAGUCUAAAUUAGCUUCGGAUAAAAGAUAUAGCCAGAGAUGACCUUGAACUCCGGAUCCUGCUGCCUCUAAUCCCCACGUGCUAGGAUUACAACCGUGUGCAUCACAGCCCAGCCUGACCUUGGGUGGUUGUGUGUGGUUUCAUCACUAUGUGGACAGAUGCCUCAUCACCUAAUGCAGCCUUGCCAGCUGAGAAAGGUCUCCCAGGACAAAAGCAUUUAAAAGACACUGCACACUCUGUCGCUCAUCAGAGGUUAUGAAAUGCAUAGCUCUGCUCAACGCUCCAGAAGGUCUUGCACAAAAGAAACUUGCUUUGGUGUUAGUGGCUCAUUGACUCUUCCUGCUGCCUGUGGAUCCAGAUGUAGAACCCUCAAAUACUCCAGCACCAUGUUGCCUGCAUGCUGCCAUGCUCCCUACUGUGAUGACAAUGGACUAAACCUCUGAAACGGAUCACAUGGUGGCUCCGUAGAGAAGAGAGCAGGAGGAAGAGAGGAGGAGCAAGAGGACGACUUCCUGUUUGUCCCUGCUUAUAUAUGAGUCUGCCUGCUCUGUCACUUCCUGCCUCUAUCACAAGACUUCUUCUUACUACAUUUCCCAGAAUCCUCUUUGACUCCUAGUCCCGCCUAACUUGCUGCCUCAUUAGCCAAACAGUGCUUUAUUCAACAAUCAAUAAGAUAAACAUACACAGAAGGACAUUCACCAUCAGGGAUUAAAGGCGUGCUCCACCACUGGCUCACUCCAACCUCUUUUGCUUUAGUUGAUUCAGUUCCCACACCCCAGAGUUUGUCUAGUUAGGAGAUUAAGGAGAAACAGAGAGUAUUGCGUGAUAAGGGAAACCUGUCAUGGGUAACUCAAGAGCUCCCCAUUGGGAGAACUCCCUCCAAAAGAGCUAGUUACUAGAAGUAGGGAGGGACAGAUUGUCUAAACUAAGUAGGAAGUUCAUGAAACUUUUGCAAUAGCCACUGGCCAGGAGUUUCAAGAGAGACUUUUCACACAUAACCCUACAUAUAUGACUUCAAUAUGCCCAUAUGACCAUAUGCCAGCCCUUUAAACCCACUGUCCAUCUUAUCCUCUAUUCAGCUUGUAUUUGUAAUACCAAAUGUGUAGCCAUAAGUCACAUGUAGCUACUGAGCUCUUGAAAUGAUUACUUGAGAAGCAGAGGAACAAAAUCUUAAACAUCACUUAAUUUGUGUUUAGUUGAACUUUGAUUUUAAAACUUAAGUGCUGUAAAAUGAAUGAGAAUACUUGAGAAAUCUCUGUUCUUAUUGAAAAAUGGAGAGGUGAUUCCCAGUACCCCUUUGAACAUGAUGUUAAUAACACUGGACAAAGAAUCAAUGAAUUUAUUGAACUUGUAGGUGUGUGGCUUUGAAAUGAAUAUUGUACCAGGCUUUUUUUGGGGGUUUGGGGCACCAACCAGCUCCCAAAUCAUGACAUGGAGACUUAUUAUUAGUUAUGGAUGCUCAGCCUUAGCUCUUAUUUCUUGCUAGCUCUUUUAACUUAAAUUAUCUUGUUUUUCUUUAUCUACAUUUUUGCCUUGGGACUUUUUACCUUUCCCUCCUCUAUAACUUACUUUUCCUGCUUCUUCCAUGUCUGUUUGCCUGGCAGCUGCCUGCCUAACUAACCCCGGAUGUCUCUUUCUCUUUCUUAUGAAAGACCCCUGCCCCUUAGCCCUUUCUUUCUCAAGUUUGUCUCCUCUUCCUCCUGUCGGCGGCUUCCCCGAUCCCCACCCCCGGCGGCUUCCACUUCCCCCGCCACCCGCCGCGCCCAGCCCGAGAACGAGCACCAGGUGGGCCGGCACGAGAACAAACACCAAGUGAGCCGGCCUGGAGCCCUGCCCCUGAGCCCCCGCCCGAUGAGAAACACUCCGUCCCAAGGUCUCCGCCCCCAAGGUCAGCCAUCUGGACACGGAGGGAGGGGGAAUUGAGUCUGUUGUACCAGACACCAGACCUUGAGAAUAUGCUGAUCUGGAAUGGCUCUGUGUCUCAUUUGAACCAUCCAAUAGAAAUGAUUCUGUAUUUCGCCUCAUUUGAAAGACUCUAUGUUUCACCUCAUUUGAAUAACUCUGUACUUUGCCUCAUUUGAAUAACCCUGUAUAGCGCCUCAUAUACAUUGACCAAUGGGAAUAGCUCUGUACAAUGCCUCAUUAGAAUUAUCCAAUCGAAUCCCUGCUCCUAGCUUGCGCCUUUUUCCCUAUAUAAGGACCCCUCUCCCUUGGCUCGGGGCGCUUGGCCUCACAGAAGCUAAGUCGCCCGGGUACCCGUAUCUCCAAUAAAG